GGGUUGUGAGGUUAAGCGACUAAGCGUACACGGUGGAUGCCCUGGCAGUCAGAGGCGAUGAAGGGCGUGCUAAUCUGCGAUAAGCGCCGGUAAGGUGAUAUGAACCGUUAUAACCGGCGAUACCCGAAUGGGGAAACCCAGUGUGAUUCGUCACACUAUCAUUAACUGAAUCCAUAGGUUAAUGAGGCGAACCGGGGGAACUGAAACAUCUAAGUACCCCGAGGAAAAGAAAUCAACCGAGAUUCCCCCAGUAGCGGCGAGCGAACGGGGAGGAGCCCAGAGCCUGAAUCAGCAUGUGUGUUAGUGGAAGCGUCUGGAAAGGCGCGCGAUACAGGGUGACAGCCCCGUACACAAAAGCGCAUGUGCUGUGAGCUCGAUGAGUAGGGCGGGACACGUGGUAUCCUGUCUGAAUAUGGGGGGACCAUCCUCCAAGGCUAAAUACUCCUGACUGACCGAUAGUGAACCAGUACCGUGAGGGAAAGGCGAAAAGAACCCCGGCGAGGGGAGUGAAAAAGAACCUGAAACCGUGUACGUACAAGCAGUGGGAGCACAGGUUUACCUGUGUGACUGCGUACCUUUUGUAUAAUGGGUCAGCGACUUAUAUUCUGUAGCAAGGUUAACCGAAUAGGGGAGCCGGAGGGAAACCGAGUCUUAACCGGGCGUUAAGUUGCAGGGUAUAGACCCGAAACCCGGUGAUCUAGCCAUGGGCAGGUUGAAGGUUGGGUAACACUAACUGGAGGACCGAACCGACUAAUGUUGAAAAAUUAGCGGAUGACCUGUGGCUGGGGGUGAAAGGCCAAUCAAACCGGGAGAUAGCUGGUUCUCCCCGAAAGCUAUUUAGGUAGCGCCUCGUGAAUUCAUCUCCGGGGGUAGAGCACUGUUUCGGCUAGGGGGCCAUCCCGGCUUACCAACCCGAUGCAAACUGCGAAUACCGGAGAAUGUUAUCACGGGAGACACACGGCGGGUGCUAACGUCCGUCGUGAAGAGGGAAACAACCCAGACCGCCAGCUAAGGUCCCAAAGUCAUGGUUAAGUGGGAAACGAUGUGGGAAGGCCCAGACAGCCAGGAUGUUGGCUUAGAAGCAGCCAUCAUUUAAAGAAAGCGUAAUAGCUCACUGGUCGAGUCGGCCUGCGCGGAAGAUGUAACGGGGCUAAACCAUGCACCGAAGCUGCGGCAGCGACGCUUAUGCGUUGUUGGGUAGGGGAGCGUUCUGUAAGCCUGUGAAGGUGUGUCGUGAGGCAUGCUGGAGGUAUCAGAAGUGCGAAUGCUGACAUAAGUAACGAUAAAGCGGGUGAAAAGCCCGCUCGCCGGAAGACCAAGGGUUCCUGUCCAACGUUAAUCGGGGCAGGGUGAGUCGACCCCUAAGGCGAGGCCGAAAGGCGUAGUCGAUGGGAAACGGGUUAAUAUUCCCGUACUUGGUGUUACUGCGAAGGGGGGACGGAGAAGGCUAUGUUGGCCGGGCGACGGUUGUCCCGGUUUAAGCGUGUAGGUGUGUGUUCCAGGUAAAUCCGGUUCACUUUAACACUGAGGCGUGAUGACGAGGCACUACGGUGCUGAAGUAACAAAUGCCCUGCUUCCAGGAAAAGCCUCUAAGCAUCAGGUAACAUCAAAUCGUACCCCAAACCGACACAGGUGGUCAGGUAGAGAAUACCAAGGCGCUUGAGAGAACUCGGGUGAAGGAACUAGGCAAAAUGGUGCCGUAACUUCGGGAGAAGGCACGCUGACACGUAGGUGAAGUGAUUUACUCACGGAGCUGAAGUCAGUCGAAGAUACCAGCUGGCUGCAACUGUUUAUUAAAAACACAGCACUGUGCAAACACGAAAGUGGACGUAUACGGUGUGACGCCUGCCCGGUGCCGGAAGGUUAAUUGAUGGGGUCAGCGCAAGCGAAGCUCCUGAUCGAAGCCCCGGUAAACGGCGGCCGUAACUAUAACGGUCCUAAGGUAGCGAAAUUCCUUGUCGGGUAAGUUCCGACCUGCACGAAUGGCGUAAUGAUGGCCAGGCUGUCUCCACCCGAGACUCAGUGAAAUUGAACUCGCUGUGAAGAUGCAGUGUACCCGCGGCAAGACGGAAAGACCCCGUGAACCUUUACUAUAGCUUGACACUGAACAUUGAGCCUUGAUGUGUAGGAUAGGUGGGAGGCUUUGAAGUGUGGACGCCAGUCUGCAUGGAGCCGACCUUGAAAUACCACCCUUUAAUGUUUGAUGUUCUAACGUGGACCCGUUACCCGGGUUGCGGACAGUGUCUGGUGGGUAGUUUGACUGGGGCGGUCUCCUCCUAAAGAGUAACGGAGGAGCACGAAGGUUGGCUAAUCCUGGUCGGACAUCAGGAGGUUAGUGCAAUGGCAUAAGCCAGCUUGACUGCGAGCGUGACGGCGCGAGCAGGUGCGAAAGCAGGUCAUAGUGAUCCGGUGGUUCUGAAUGGAAGGGCCAUCGCUCAACGGAUAAAAGGUACUCCGGGGAUAACAGGCUGAUACCGCCCAAGAGUUCAUAUCGACGGCGGUGUUUGGCACCUCGAUGUCGGCUCAUCACAUCCUGGGGCUGAAGUAGGUCCCAAGGGUAUGGCUGUUCGCCAUUUAAAGUGGUACGCGAGCUGGGUUUAGAACGUCGUGAGACAGUUCGGUCCCUAUCUGCCGUGGGCGCUGGAGAACUGAGGGGGGCUGCUCCUAGUACGAGAGGACCGGAGUGGACGCAUCACUGGUGUUCGGGUUGUCAUGCCAAUGGCACUGCCCGGUAGCUAAAUGCGGAAGAGAUAAGUGCUGAAAGCAUCUAAGCACGAAACUUGCCCCGAGAUGAGUUCUCCCUGAGACUUAGAGUCUCCUGAAGGAACGUUGAAGACGACGACGUUGAUAGGCCGGGUGUGUAAGCGCAGCGAUGCGUUGAGCUAACCGGUACUAAUGAACCGUGAGGCUUAACCUUACAACGCCGAAG
rnacentral:rRNA from 2 species